CCGCCUCUCCACACGGCCAUGGCGGCUCGGGCGGCACAAAGGGAGAGAGGAGAGAAGGGGCUCCCUUUGCAAAGCCACAGGAAGGAGCCAGUCUCAGUGCCCCUCCAGGUUGUGUAAUGGAGUACAGGAGGAACCUUGGAGCAGCAGGCUGGAACAGCAGAGACCUGCGGUGUUCCUGAGAGCUCCAGGCUCUCUCAGGUAGGAGGAUAACACCUGGACUUUCAGAUGGAGCAUCAGUGAACUUGGAAGUGCUAGAUUUACAACUGGAUUCAAUAUUCUUAAGGACUUUCUCCAACCUAAUGAUUCUGUGAUUUUACAGCCAAUUUGCUUCAGUGUCAUUUUAGCCCACUCAUGGCAGCACAAGAGUCUGUGGGUUUCUUCCACUCACAGCUACCUGUCAAGCUGGCCUUUUUGUAACCCUCCAGCAGUGAGUUCUCAAGCCAACAUCCUUUCUGUUUGACAGCAGAAGUGUUGAAGAGGGCUGCUUUCUGGUGACAAAAUUAUAUAGUAGCUCAAAUAACCAUAAAAGAGGAACCUCUCCACAGAUGACACUGGUAUCCAGGGUGUGUCUGAUGCUGCAUGAAUGUGGGCUUCCAGUGUGGCAAGGGUCAUGAGAACUUCUUGUUAUCUUUUUUUUUUUUUGUUCAGUCUUUUCAAACUAGCUAUUUUACUAAGCUGCUUGUUGUUAGACUUUCUUGCUAAGACCUUGCUUAAAAGGAGCCCUGUGGCAUCUCUCUCCUACCUCACCCCCAGUGCAGAAGACCAGGUCAGAGGAGUUUGAAGUCAUGACGCUGAAAUUGUAGGUGCUGUGGGGUUAAACCUGGGGUACAACUGGCCUUCAACAAAAAAAAAAAGAUAGAGCCUAUAGAUGACAUUUCGGGCCAGAGAACUGUUUCCAAGCACCUACACCUGAUAUGUCCCCCUCCCUGUGCUGUGGCUCCCUUGGGAAUGAAAUGCCAGACAGUUGAUGGGCAAGGAGUCAUGGCACACCCGAAUCGUAUACAGUGACUCCAGUUGCUCUGAUGACAGGCAAGGCAGAAUUCAUCCACUACCCUCUGCAGACAAACAGCUGUGACUGCUGUGGGGUCACAGCAGUUGGUGAUUGUUUCCUGUUAGCUGAGAGCCUGUGGCUUUUAAGGAGAUAAUAUUAAAAAAUUCAAAAAUGUAGUUUUUCUUGCUUGAUCUGAAAUUUUAAGGAUCUAUAUAUAAAUCUCUAGUGAUAAAACCUGUGUUAUGUUGACAAAGCUUCACAGAGUGAAGGUUGAAGUGUUAGAAGUGGGUAUGCUGUGAACUUUAUCAAUCAUAAGAAUAAAUAAUUUUUAAAUAUCCAAUAAAGAGUUGAUCUUAGCUUCUUGGUAGGUUUUUCUACAUGUGUUCAUGACAUGCAUACAGCAAUUCUUGUAUUUCCAACUAUCAAUAAAAUGAAAAUUUGUGCAGAA